rnacentral:lncRNA from 1 species
GUCAACCCUUAGACAUCCAGGACACUAGGGAGACCACCCGGGUCCCUAGGCCACUGCCCUGCAUCCUGUCCUUUGAAUCUGACCUCAUCCAUUAGAGCACUUGCUCUCCCGCAGCCCUCUCCUUCCAGCGGUAAGACCAAAGGUGGUAGAGGCAACCCCAAAAUCCACUUGAAAGGCUGGCCAAUGAGUGAGUUUUUCAUGAUCUAAAAGGUUAUGAAGUAAAAGAGAGACUGAGCCUGCGGCACCAGAGAGGCCUGUCGUUAGAAGGAGGGAAAAACAGAGCAAACACAUAUAACUCACCCUGCCCAGGGUGCUGAGAACUGGAGACCGCCUCCCUGCCUUUUUCACCCUGGCGGUGAUGAGCACAGGGGACAUCAUUCUCUGUCUAGACAGUGUCCUGUGGCACAGGGCCGCCCUAUGACAAGUCUCCUGAAGGUCCUGCUCUCACUUCCCUCCUGACGGAAACACUCAGGCUGGCCCAGCUAACCUCACUAAGUGCCCACACCCAAGAACUGCCCGUAGGGGCGGCCUCUCCCGUGUCCCCUGUGCCCCCGGCCCAGAGCCUUCUCCGGGAGCCCACAGAGAGCUGGAGAAGAAGGAGAGCAUCAGGGCCACUGCGUGUGGGUGUGGAGCUUGGCCUGAGGGGACAAGUGGGGCUGCUUCUGUCAACUGGAGGGGCCCAGUCAUCCCAGAGCUGGCCCUUGUUCUAACAGCCACAGAGGCUCCAAGAAGGUGGAAGGGGGCUGAUUCCUCCAGUUCUCCCAGAAACUGCACACCAACCCCCUUCACUACGUUUCUGCACUCAGAGGCUGCCUCUAACCAAAGAGAGGGGCAGCUGCAGGGUUGGCACAUCGCCUGCCGUAAAUCAGGACAUUCAGAAAGGCGGCUCAAGACAGGUAGACCCUAGCCACGUGUGGCUUCAGGCUCUUGAAACACGGCUGGUCCAAAUGGAGAUGUCCUGCUAAAGGUCCCGGGCACGGUACCCCUGAUGAAAAGUGGAUAAAAGAUCACCGCCUGCCUCAGUGUCUGUUACAUAGUGUGAUCGUGCCCAGUGCUGCACCAGGGACAUCGCAUGUUAAUAGCAGGAAGUGUGCUGUGAUCAGAGGAGCAAACUCCCAUUUAUUCCAGGAGUUGAGUCACUGCUCUUCUAAAAAGGGAGGAUUCUAAAUAUAUUGAAAGGGGGAGCUAGUGCUGGAUACUGGGGAGGGUGUCUUGUUGCUGGUCUUUUAGAAAAAAGGCAACAGAUUAAGCAGUGGAUCAAAAUAUAAGUAAAAGACUUGCCCACCAAGUUAAAAAGCAAAAAAGAACUGAACUAAAAUAAAAAUAGCUCCAACUCAGAGAUCAAGAGGACCAUUUUGUACAACGAAAGAAUAGAAGUGGUCCGCUUACACUGCGCCAAGCCACUAGCUUGAAGUGCAUCUUUGUGCUGAUAGCCGAGAGUCUGAAAGGCUUCAUUAUGAAGAAGUUAAUGCUUGACAGCGGCCGACUCCACCACAGCAAAAUUGCCCGCCUUCGAAAGACAGCCUCCUAUGAGUCUUGGGUUAAUUACUCAAAUCUCCAAAUUAUCCUUCAGGGAAAAAAAUGAAGCAUGCAGAAUUAAAAGCAGAUCUGUAGCUGAGAUUAUGAAAAGGGAGUGGGUUCCUUUCCAUGUUAAAAAAUGAUUAUUUCUAUUGCAG